GAUGAAGAACGUAGCGAAAUGCGAUAAGUAAUGUGAAUUGCAGAAUUCAGUGAAUCAUCGAAUCUUUGAACGCACCUUGCGCCCUUUGGCUAUUCCGAAGGGCAUGCCUGUUUGAGUAUCAUGAACACCUCGACUCUCAUGGUCUGCCAUGAUGAGCUUGGACUUUGGGGGUCUUGCCGGCCUAGCGUCGGCUCCUCUCAAAUGGAUCAGCUCGCCAGUGUUUGGUGGCAUCACAGGUGUGAUAACUAUCUACGCUUGUGGUUUUCUACCAUGUAACCUUCAGCGAUGGAGGUUCGCUGGGGCUCACAGACGUCUCUCCUUGGAGGACAGCUCUUUGAACGUUUGAUCUCAAAUCAGGUAGGACUACCCGCUGAACUUAAGCAUAUCAAUAAGCGGAGGA
rnacentral:misc_RNA from 1 species